CCACGGGAGGCAGCAGUGGGGAAUAUUGGACAAUGGGCGAAAGCCUGGUCCAGCCAUGCCGCGUGUGUGAAGAAGGCCUUCGGGUUGUAAAGCACUUUCAGUGGGGAAGAAAGCCUUGGGGCUAAUACCCUCGAGGAAGGACAUCACCCACAGAAGAAGCACCGGCUAACUCCGUGCCAGCAGCCGCGGUAAUACGGAGGGUGCGAGCGUUAAUCGGAAUUACUGGGCGUAAAGCGCGCGUAGGCGGUCUGAUAAGCCGGUUGUGAAAGCCCCGGGCUCAACCUGGGAACGGCAUCCGGAACUGUCAGGCUAGAGUGCAGGAGAGGAAGGUAGAAUUCCCGGUGUAGCAGUGAAAUGCGUAGAGAUCGGGAGGAAUACCAGUGGCGAAGGCGGCCUUAUGGACUGACACUGACGCUGAGGUGCGAAAGCGUGGGUAGCAAACAGGAUUAGAUACCCCAGUAGUC
rnacentral:rRNA from 1 species